CUGUCGUUCCAGCCCGGCCUCGAACUCACUCACAGAGAUCCGCCUGCCUCUGCCUCCCGAGUGCUGGGAUUAAAGGCGCACUGUGGAUUCUUUAAAGAAAAACACAAGAAAAUGAGGAACUCACAAACCUGAGGAACUCCCUUGUCAUUGCUGAGGUGAGGAUCUGUCCCACUCAGUCUCCAGUGAAUAAACCUCGCAUCAAUGGUAACAGCCCGUCCUGUGACAGACAGCCCAUGGCAGGGCAGUACCUAAACCCUGAGAAGAGGCUAGCGAAGAGUCUGGAAACACAAGCCAGUAACAUGACUUCCCUGUGCUGUCGGAGCAAGAAGCCCUGGGUUCCACUGAUUCUCAGCGUUUUCACACCACCUCGAACCCACACAGGCAUGCUACAAAGUGAAGACAACAACACUGCUCACCUGGAUGCUAACCAAUAACCAGGGACUAGUGGUCCUACAUGAGUCACGUGGAGAACAUUCUUCCUUACCCACUGCAGUGCUAUCGUGAUGCACAGGUUACAUGCAAGGAAGACAGAGGUUUAGAGUCUACAGAGGGAGACCUGAGGCUUCCACCCUCAGAGGAGGAGGGGGUGACAUGAUCCAUCUGGUCCCAGGAAGGUGGGGUGGGCAGAGGAGGGUGGACAGGGCGUGUCACUUGCAGGGCUUCUCCGCCUCAUCUCUGUGAGCUGCUGUGGCUGGUGGAGAGUCAGCCCCACGUGGUACCAACCCAAUGCUCACUGUGGGAAGCCCAGCAGCUCCUUAGAGUCUGGAAGGCACAGGUCUAUGGCUGUCUCUCCCCUAUCUUGUCCAGGUGAGAGCAUACCCAGUUCCUCUUUGGAGCAUUCUCUUCUUCCAUACCUAGAGCACAGGGCUGCCCUGAGAAGGCCCAGCAAGGCCUAGGCCUAGGUCUGGGCCCACAUAAAAGGGAACUUGUGACUCUCCUGCUCUUGCAAAGGAGGUCACAGGCUGUCAGAAGACCCCAGAGAAGUCAUAUGGGUCUAGGUCUUUGCUGGGGUCUUAUCAGGACACUGCUGCUGAGGUCAGGCCUUAUAGCCGUGGGCAGGCCCCAGCCAUGUUCUCUGAAAGUUUGGCAUUCUUCUGAGGCCAUUCAGCUACCGACCCAGAACCCCCACAGGCGGUUUGUCCAGUGUGCUGUCCUCUGGAUGACCUAAAAAAAAAUCUAUGGCUGUGGGACUGGUGGGAUGUCCCAGUAGAUAAAAACAAUUGCCCCCAUGUCUUAUGUUCUGAGUUCCAGUACCAGAACUAGUAGGAGGAGAGGCCUGACUCCAACAAGCUGCCUUCUGACUUCCACACUCAUGACCACCCAUCCCCAACAAACAAACAAACAAGAAAUAAAAGCCGUGGCUGGCUUUCCAGGUAAGCCUCCAUCUAUGGAGCCUAGAGUCAAGGUGACCAGGGAUGACCACACCCUCUGCCACCCAAGCUAGAGCUCUGGGGCACCUUCUCUGAUUAAAGCCUUCAUGCCUUAUGUGUUCCAGAACAUUCUAUCCUUUAUCCUGCCCUAAGAGCUGUCCCCAAAGAUCUGCAAAAUCCCAAUUGAAGGUCUCCAAAAGCCCAGAUCCUCCACAAAGGCAUGCUGGGAGCUUCACGGUUCCUCUGCUCUUGACAUUUGUGAAAAGACCAUCUUGAGGAUUUGCUGCCUGGCUUGGGCUUGGGUAGAUGUGUCACUUCAGACACUGCCUCUGAAUCUUUAUCUGCUUACAGUUGACUCCAUGGUUGGUGUUUCAACACAAGGAUAGCAUGCCUGUCCAGUCCACUAAGCUCUGCUCAGCUAACAGUUCCUGCAUGCUUCUGGUGGGUGUUUCUGGUAUUUCUAGCUAAGUGCAUUUUGAGUCCUGUAUACUCUUAAAAAAAAAGAAAACCAAAGCAGGGGUAUGGUGGUGCACCCUUUAAUCCCAGUACCAGGAGGCAGAGGCAGGUGGAUCUUCAUGAGUUUGAGGCCAGCCUGGUCUACAUAGUGAGUUCCACAGUAGGUAGGAGAGCUGUCUCAAACACAAUAAAAUCAACCAAACUCCCCAAACCAAGUGUCUCCAAGUUAACUGCUCUAUUAUAGGCAUCUCUCCACCCAACAAAGCCAAGGUGUUUUCCAAUGCAGACCUGCACUGCAAUGGGAUCAUCCUACCUCUUUUUCAGGAAUUACCAUGGGAACACCAUAUAGAAUUAAAGCAAUUAACAUGCAUGCCACAAAGUGAAAAGCAGGCCAGACAUACACAGGUGUCGCUGAGUCCUCCUGCCCCAAGGCCCCGUGAGGAAGGAAUGUACAUCACAGUGCCCAAGAGCCCUUGUUGCCACUGAGCAUUUGACAGGAAGGAGGAAGCCUUGUCUGCCUCCUUUGGGGAGCAUCACAGCUAGCCAUCAUGACCUCCAAGCUGGGCUGCCAAGUACAGAGACCCAUCCGAGGUCAAAUUCCCAGGACUGGUCAGUAUCGGAGGGGACACCACAUUCUGGCAGCACCGCUUGUGCCCCAGGCAUCGAGAUGUUAGCUUAUCUCACCCUCCCAGCCUGUGCUUGGUAGGCGAUAAGGAUGAGAAAGCAAAGGGUUUUCCGAUUUCCAUUUCACAGAUAGGACAGCAGAAGCCCAGGGAGGGUGAGACUGCCUAUGCACCCAGCAAAGAGGGUCAACCUGCUCCAUAUCCGCCCUCAACCCUCAUUUACAUGGCUGCCUUACCAGCUCCAACACAGGGCCCACCUAAUUUCCCACACCUUCCCAUCUUGGCAGGACUAGAGGGUUGAGAUGGACCACAGAUCAGGAAGGUGAGGGAGGACACAGUUUUAGGGCUGAAGUUAGUGUCUACUUUUUGGAGUGUGUGUGGGGUCUCCUUAGUAUUCUUACUGGGAAAUGGGAGUGUCGGAAGCAUGGGCAUACAGGUCUUCCUGCCCUCGCUCUAGGACAACCUCUUGUAGGUAGUGCCUGCUGAGUGCUGUUUUAGGGAUCCAGGCCAGCCUCCUGUUGCAGGAUCACACAGUAGCUGCAGCUGGAAUACCUUCUGGAGUGUCUAUAACACAUACUUCCUGCAAACACCAACCGAUGGUGUGGCCUCUGAACUAAGAUUGGUCUGAGUAAUAAGGCACAUACCCUACACAGAAGCAGAAACUGCAGCCACACCAUGGAGGAGCAGAGGCUUCUUCUCACUCCAUGCAUCACAGGAAGUGGAGGCUGCAUCUUCUGAACACAGCUCAGCAAGUCACUUCUGAUCUCAGCCCAACCUGCAGUGGCUAUGGGGUGGGAAAGAGCCCUGAUAUAAGGUCCUGUGUUAGGACAUGGGUGCCAGGCUCCCUAAAGUCCACCAUGGAUAUCCUUUGAGGACACUGUCCCAGGACAACCAGAGAAUAGAAUCUUUACCCAGCCCAUCAUCAGGCCUGUUCUGGGAACUAGGACACACCUGGGAGGUGGAGGAGUCCAUAUGCCAGUCAGCUUUUGUCUGUUUAUUUGCCUGUCCACUCAAAACAAGGUCUCAUUCUAGCCCAACCAACCAUGGAACUCACUCUGAAGUUCAGGUUGGCCUCAAUCUCCAGGCCUCAUCCUCUUAAGUGCUGGAAUUUCAGGUGUGCACUGCCAUACUGAUGUCAAAUUCUGUUUUCUGAGAGGGUCUCAUUCAGUAGUUCAGGCUGGUCUGAGACCCAGUAUAUAGGUCAAGGUAAUCUUCAACUCAUAUUAUUCCUCCUGCUUCAGCCUCUUGGGUGCUGGGAUUACAAGCAUACGCCACCAUUACAGUGAAAGAACUCAUGCUCCGACUCACCUGUGCAGCCCUGGAUCUGGGGAGCAUACAGUGAUCCACACAGAUAAAGCAAAGACCCUGGACUAUGUGGAGAGAGACACAUUUGCAAGAUUCACUGUGGGUAUUUUCCACUAGCCACGUCUGAGGGCAGGGGUGUCCACAUCAUCUCAGCUCUAUACCAAGUCACGGUGGACACAGAGAGACACUGGAGUCACACAGCCCAGCUGUACCCCUCGCUUCCCAGCUUUAGCAUAAGAGAUGGUCCACAGUGAGUGGAAACCGUUUCCUGCCCUAUCCCAGUCGAUCUGCUCUCCUGGCCCUGGGAAGGUUCCAGGCAGGCAGAUGGGCUGGUGCUGGUGCUGAUGCUGGUGCAGCUGCUCUGGGAGAGCUAUGGGGCUGGCUAAGCUGCCUGCUUUUCUAGUGGGAACCUUGUGGCUAUUUGACUCAUCCCACCAAAUGGUCUCAGGGGACCUUGAGACAUGGGGGUGGAGCCCUUGGGGAAUUUUCCUGGGAAGAGGUGCUUGCCAGGUACUCAGCUCUGGGAUAACUUCCAUUAACCGAGGACAGCAGAGUCUCACGGAGAGCAUGGAACUGCUCAUUCAUGCACAGCAGCAAGGAACGCCAAUAUGCAUGGGAACCCAGCAGGGCGCUAUUAUAAGCAGAGAAGCAGGUAGAAUAAGGAGCUGGUGUGGGUGGUCUAUUCUCUGCAGCCCAUUCUUGUGAAAACGUCCUCAGGAGAGAUACGUGUGUGUGUGUGUGUGUGUGUGUGUGUGUGUGUGUGUGUGUUUUCUUCAGCAGGCUCUCACCUUGCCCACUUCUUUCCUGCCUACUGGGGGUUAAGGGUCACUACCUCCAUGCUGGAGACUGACUUUUCCCAUCAGAGAAAGAAGUGACACCACGCUGGGGUCAGGGAGCUUGUUCCUAGGACAUUCGGGUAUUGUGGUUAGCUUUAACUGUCAAUUCAACACAGCUUAAGAGACAUCUGAGAGAAGUCUCAACUGAAGAAUUGUUUAGAUCAGACUGACACAUGGGCAUAUCUCUGGGGUAUGCCUGAUUGUUAACUGAGGUAGGCAGGUACACUGAACUAUGUAAGAAAUCCAGUUGUAUAUAAGCCAGCCUCAAGUCAGCUAGCAAGCAGCAUUCUCCAUCAUCCCUGAUGUACUUCUUUGGCUGUCUGUAGUCCUUGGAGGUUAUACUAUGUGGAAUAGUAAACAUGCCUCUCUUUAGUGUCUACCCUGAGUUUCUACUCUCCAUGAUGAACUAUGACUUGGAAUUGUUAAGAUGACUAAACCCUGUUUUUGGUCAGGAUGUUUUAUCCAAGCAAGAGAAGGAACCUAGAACUGGUGGCAGGCAAUGUACCUGUGUCCCCUGGGGUUCAGGGUGCCACUGCUACACAGGACAGGGUGGUUCUGGUGCUUAAAAGCAAUGACAUGAUCUUUGGACAUCUUUUUGCACACACCAGGAGAGUGCUCAACACUCAGG